CAAUAGCGUAUAUUAAAGUUGUUGCAGUUAAAAAGCUCGUAGUUGGAUUUGUGGCGUACGGUGUGUUCCGGGCACUUGUUGUCUGAGUAACCUGCUGUUGCCAUCCUUGGGUGGAACCUGUGUGGCAUUAGGUUGUCGUGCAGGGGAUGCCCAUCAUUUACUGUGAAAAAAUUAGAGUGUUCAAAGCAGGCUUAUGCCGUUGAAUAUAUUAGCAUGGAAUAAUGAGAUAGGACUUUUUUGCUAUUCUGUUGGUUUGCGCAAAGAGGUAAUGAUUAAUAGGGACAGUUGGGGAUAUUCGUAUUCCAUUGUCAGAGGUGAAAUUCUUGGAUUUUUGGAAGACGAACUACUGCGAAAGCAUUUACCAAGGAUGUUUUCAUUAA
rnacentral:rRNA from 1 species